AAUAACACUCCUGUAGGACUACAAAUUGUUUGAGGCACUCUACCCUUAGUGGAGCACAGCUUUCCGUCUUUGCUCGCAGGGUGUUCCCCAUGAAGGAAGAGGUUUUGUGCAUCUGAGGGCUGAGGGUUAAACAAAGAGAUUAUUAAAGAUAAAGGGAAAUUUUGAAAUAUUCCUGUUGCUGAGGUAUGGUAGAAACUUUACUGUAGAAUAGGUACACACCUGUCUGAACAUAUAUGUUAUAAUGCAUUUUAUUACCAUUUCAUAUGGGAAGAGUUUUUAAUAUAUCAGAUAUAUGAGACACAAAUACACUCCAAGUCCAGAGAUUAACAUUCUCUGUCUCUCUGUCUCUGUCUCUGUCUGUCUCUCUCUCCCCUUGCCCUUCCCUUGCUUCCUCCUUUCCUUUUUAACUUUCUCUCAAAACUCUAUUAAUGGUGGUAUGUAUCAUCUAUGAGACAGCUAAGGGGUGGGUGCUGGUGUGUAUCUGUAGCUUUGCAUUCUGUGCUGUUUGAGUGUGUAUUUAUAUACUCUGAUAAUAUUUAAAGACUAUAAUGGUGUACAUUUGGAAUAUUUGGUAACACUGUCUCCCUGCUAACUCAUAUACUUCAGAGUCUUCCUUAAAGUAGAUGGUAGAAGUGAGGUUCAGAAGUGUAACCCUGGUCUGUCCUGAAUGACGGCUUCUCACCUUGUAGUUUGUCUCUUAGAAGUCUUUCUUCAUGUGAUAAUUUUGCAUACCUCAGAACUGAAAUUCUUGACACCAUUUUUGUUAAAAGUUGGCCUAACUCUGUAUGUCUGGUAAGAAAUAGAUCAAUUCUGGGGUUUGUUUCCUUGGCUUCCCUCACUCAGGGGAGACAGUGAGCUGCUGCCUGUAGCUGACACACAAGAAACCAUGAGCUGAUGUCUUUUGGUGACAAUUUCUCUAUGAUAUCUUUUGUUGACAAUUGUUGAAACCAAAAAUGUUAUCAUACAUCAGUACUGAAAUCUAAAAGUCUGUCCACUUUCUUUUUUGCCCAAUGUGUUACUAAACUUCUGUUUGUUUAUUUGUUUGUUUGUUUGCUGCCUUGGCAUAGAAGCUUGAGAAAUAACAAAUCUUGUUUUACAAAGAAAUAUCAUCCAUCUUCUCAAUGUAGUCCUACUUAGUAUUUAAAAUUGUACUUAUUUCACUCAUAUAUGGUCCCUGCACCGGCAGGAUUUGAGUAUUUAUAUACUCCGAAAAUGUUAUAAAUAGCUACAUAUCUUUGUUACUUUCUAUUUAAAGUAUUUCCUUUGUCAUUUUUAAUAAAAUUAUUAGUUUUCAUAGUAAAUUAAAUGUUUUCAGUUUUUAACGGAUUGUCUUUCAUGUUCUUUGAGACAGUUCUCAAACAAGGAAUGCGUAGUACCACAUUUUCCCUAAGUUGUACAUCUAUCUAUCUAUCUAUCUAUCUAUCAAUCAAUCAUCUAUGUAUCUUUCAUUCAUUUUUAGUAUUUUAUCAUAGAGAAAUAGUCAACCAUUGACACACAGCAGAGCCAUAUGGUGUCAUAUAAAGGGCACAGGUACUUUAACAGAAUACUUCUUAGAAGUAGAUCAGAGCAGAGCUACUUAAACUGUUCUACACGUGACAUCUUCUGCCUAAUAUAUUUUUACAUGAUUCUGUAUAUAUAGGUAUGAAGUAGAAGGACACAUCAAAUGCUGGUAGUGAAUUAUGAAGAAAUUUAUCUUAAAAUAAUACUUUACUAUGUACUUCUUCUUUUUACCAAAGAUGAAAGCAUUUUUGGUUACUAAUGCAACUUCCUGACGUAAAAAGUUAAUUGGGGCUGAACACUUAACUCUGCAUGGUACUGUGCGUUGUCAAUAUAUUUUCAGAAUUGAUCAAUGUUUUGAUUUUAUGAUAUUCAGUACUGAGAAUUCUCCUUUGCAUAAAUUCAAAGUGCACAAUGGCAAAAUUAUGUUUAUGUCCAUUUCAGCAUUAUUAAAAAUUCUGCCUUUUUUCUAAGCCAAUUUCAGUUAAUUUUUUUUUAACGAAGCUCAAGUUAUCUCAAACAUCCAUUCCAAGACUACACUAAUUUGAUACAUUGGAAACUAUGAAGUCCGAUGUUUCUAGAAGAUCAGAGAAUCCCCAUAUCUCCAAUAACGACAGUGUAGUUCAUAAUAUUCAGCAGCCUGUAAUCUGAGAUUUGGAAUAUCAGGCAGCGGUCACUGGUGUUGUGUGAUGGCCUGCACAGCACAUAGAGCUCAUGGGUGCUCUGAACCAAGGCGGCAGAGAAACCAUGUGCUAGAACAUGGGCAAACGCUGCCAGAAACACCUCGGUUCAGGCCUUUUUGCGUUUUUAAUUAACUGUUGGCUGUAGUCCUUUUGGAAGCCUUUUACUGCUGCCUAUUUUUCAUGACCCCCAUAUUCAAUUAAGUGGCCCCACAUGGGGUUGCAACCCACAGUUUAAGGAGCUGUUUACAUUCGUGCAUUUACCAACUUAAAUCCCUACAAAGUAAUUAGUCUAAAAAUACAGGAUCAUCUAUGGUAAUACUUUUUGAAAUUGCUUUUCUGCAGCUAUUUUUUUUUGAUUUAUUGAAUUCCUACUUUUAUGUGCAUGCGCUUCUCUUAAGUUCUUAUAGAUUAUAGGAAUUAAAUAGUAAAUCAUUGUGUCAUCUUACGGGGAUUCAUACUACUGAUUCUAGAAGUGAUAGGCGAUUAGUGGGCACAGAACAUGGAUGAAGAAAUCCAUUUGGAAGUUGUCAGUUUAGUGGGAGAAGGAGAAAAUUUGAAUCUUAAAGAAGAAAGCUGUAGAGAUUAUUGGGCUGAGCAGAAUUGUCCACCAGUUUUCUUAACUAAGCUUUUUCUAUUUCAGAAUCUUUACUUUUUAUUUUGGCUUAGGCUGGCCUGGAAUUCAUUAUGCAAACUCUUGGCAAUUCUCCUGCCUCAGUUUCCUGUUUGCUUAGAUUACAGGUUUCACACCAUAUCUAUCCAGCAUUAAGAAUUUUGAAAGUAGUCAAUUACCUAAAGAUUAUUCUUCAUGAUCCUCAAUGGUUGUCAACUAUUGUAACUAAUAAUGACAAUGUUGAAGUUUGGGCACAAGGAGAAAGAGUAUAGAUAUUUUGUUCUGAAAGAAUAUUUAACUUACAAAAACAAAACAUAUAAUGCCAAAGAGUGUUCUAAAGAAACUAUGUCUUGCUCGUUAAUACUUUAUUUUAUUUGGAAAUGGGUAAAGUAUAACACGCCCUCCUAAAGUAUUGGCUGGUGUAUACUUUGAAAACCACCUUAAAAGAGCAUUGGUGUGGAGGUGUCCAUCUUUGAAUCAGAUGAUUGGCAGGUUCUGAGUGUCCCAGAAGACUGAGGGGGUGGGAGUUCUGCUACAAUAUGGAAGAGCAUGUAUCUGUUUCUUAAACACAGAGCUGGUCUAGUUUAUCAUGUAAAUAGAUGGGAAGGAUGCUUUAGCCUGGUUGUGAUGUGUGCAUUUUUUUUCCCCUUUGUUGUUGUCAAUAGAAAAGAUUGAUCUGUGGGCUGGUGAACUUAUCUGGGUCCCAGUCCGAGCAGCAGAGGAGAUUAGCACAGCGCUUGCUGGAGAAUGAUAUCUGUCAAAAGAAACACUUGGAGAGCACUGAGUGUAGUGAUAGGUGACUGCCGGAAAAAGGCGAACUUUGAAUAUUGUCAAGGUAAGGAACAGAUGCACAUUUUGAUUUUGACAUUUACUUUAUGUAUUAGAAAAUCAAUCUAUCGUUUGCUCCCAAUACAUUAUUACUGUGAAGACUUUUUCUUAUUCUGUACCUGUUGAUAGAGUUGUCUUUAUGGUUUAACCACUUGUGUGUGGAGCCUCUGGGUGUGAGUUUGGGUGGGGAUCGACCAGCCUGUGCGAAUUCUGCUUAAUAGUUUGGGGUCUAGAGAGAUCAAAUGAUCAGCUACCAAUUUUACUUUUUCUGCUUCUUGCCAUGUUUCAUAACACAUCUGUUAGAACCCAAGCAACACUUGGAGUAGCAGAGC
rnacentral:lncRNA from 1 species